rnacentral:rRNA from 1 species
AUGGUGUUGAGUGGUUUGGAAUCACAAGGGGGGAUGGAGGAAGUAGAAGGUUUGCUGAAGGGGAUGAGGCUGUCAGCAGUGGAAAGAAGGGGUCUGAAGAUCGGUAAAAGAAGAACAAGAUCGAUGCUUGGGUGCCGGAUGAACCACAGAGUGGGUAGGUUGUUCUCGGAGAGGCCGGCGCAUGCUGGGGUUAUCGGGAAGACGCUGGGUAGGAUCUGGUGCCCGAUCAAGGGAGUGGGGUGCAAGGAGUUAGAAGAAAACACCUUUCUGUUCAUGUUCCGGCAAGCAUCGUGUUGGAGGAGAGCGCUUGAGGAUGGGUCGUGGUGGUUUGACAAGGAUUUGCUGGUCAUGGAGGAGUUUGAUCCGGAUAAGACAGUGGAGGAAUACGAGUUCAAUAUCAUACCUAUGUGGAUCCGUGUCUUCGGGCUGCCGUUGGGAGCGAUGAACCGGGCUAUAGGUGAACUG